rnacentral:rRNA from 1 species
AACGAACGCUGGCGGCAGGCCUAACACAUGCAAGUCGAGCGAACAGACGAGGAGCUUGCUCCUCUGACGUUAGCGGCGGACGGGUGAGUAACACGUGGAUAACCUACCUAUAAGACUGGGAUAACUUCGGGAAACCGGAGCUAAUACCGGAUAACAUGUUGAACCGCAUGGUUCAACAGUGAAAGACGGUCUUGCUGUCACUUAUAGAUGGAUCCGCGCCGCAUUAGCUAGUUGGUAAGGUAACGGCUUACCAAGGCAACGAUGCGUAGCCGACCUGAGAGGGUGAUCGGCCACACUGGAACUGAGACACGGUCCAGACUCCUACGGGAGGCAGCAGUAGGGAAUCUUCCGCAAUGGGCGAAAGCCUGACGGAGCAACGCCGCGUGAGUGAAGAAGGUCUUCGGAUCGUAAAACUCUGUUAUUAGGGAAGAACAAAUGUGUAAGUAACUAUGCACGUCUUGACGGUACCUAAUCAGAAAGCCACGGCUAACUACGUG